ACCUGAAGCUUCUACCUGGGGUGAGCCAGCACAGAACGGUAGCCACCUUGUUCCUUCCAUCAGACCUUAGUGGAACUGCCACAGGUGCCCUGUACCAACCCACAUGGCAGCCCUACUCAGACUAAGGUGGAAGAUGCUUUUUGGCAACUGCAGCAUGUCUCAUAUGGAAUGGGAGGCAAACUGCUUCUAAAUUCCUCAAACACAGCCUUCGGCACAACCCUGGGACCACAUGACCACAGAAUGAUGGCGACGUAUGUGGGUCAAAGAAAUUAUGAAAUAUUCAGAAUGGGUGCCCAGCUUGACCACCCUCCUUACAUGGAAGAGGAACACAUGUCACUGUAGAGAUACAGUGCUCACACCUGAAGUCUUUACAAAAUGUCUGGGUCAUUCAAACAAGAGAGCAGAUCCCUAGAUGAUUCAUGGGGUAUCACUGCCCCAUCCAACUCACUUUUCCCUGACCACCUAUCACCUCAUUCUCUGCGUCUCUUGACACAGGUGUUUGAACGCUGCAGGUAGAAGUGCUCAGUGCCAAGUUCUGCAAAUGAUGAACAACCCUGAAAUAUUUGUGAAAGCAAAGAAGAAAAGCUGGAAAGAAAGAAGAUUGAAUGAGUCGAAGAGAAGGAAGGAUAAUUAGUACUGAUCCUAAUUUCAGACAGGCCUGAUGCCAACUCACCAUAUAUUCUAAAUGCUAUGCAUUUGAUCGCAAGUAUUAGGAUGUAUGAGGAGACGACCUCCAUUGUCUGAGGCAUUUCCAUGGAAAGGAUGGAGCUGGAGUUUAGCAAAAAACCAACCUAGCCAUCAGAAGACAACCAAUCAAAUGUGCUGAGCUCAGAAUUGGGCCAGGUUUUGGAUAUUACACCAGAAGCCUCCUAUGUAUGAAGAAUGCACAUCUAAGCCGAAAGCAAAGGUCACCUUGUUCACAUUUGCCUGUGAAGAACAGAGAAAGAGAUCCGCCAUGUGAGCAGAAGAGAUGGCCAGCAAAGGAGACCUGGAAUGCAAGGAUUCUGAACUACAAGGAGAGAUGGUCUAAUCAUAUCUUCAGCUUGAACAGUCAUAUUAGUAACUCUACCUUUGAUCACAAAGAGACACUAGUAAGGCCCAAAGCAAUGGAGCCAGCUGAUCGUGGACUGAACCAAUGAAACCACGAGUUGUUCUGACUGUCAGGCUUUCUGUGGCUGUUUGGACCCCAGCUGACAUGGGUGGAGCUAGAUACUCUACCACCUGCCUUCACUUCCUGUCCAGCCUUCUGCCCACCUGCCAGGCCAUGACCACACAGAAGCUCAGAGAAGAAGGAGAUUUGUGUGGAAUGAAGACAUCUUCCUGGUCUCCUCUGAGGAAGCUGGGUUUCGGUUGGGUUUUGAUAUAUGGGUAAGAUUCAGGAAAGUACAGAGAGGUUAUCCCUAAUUUUGGAGCUGUAAGGAAGGACACAGUGGCAACAAGUCCAAAGAAAUAGAAAACAAUUUAUGUAGAUCUAGGAAGGAAAAUAUGGCCCUGAGGGAAGGAUGGGAGCAAACUAAAGUCCCUAGGCAAACUGUGACCUUAUCAUGACCAGGAGAUCAGGGAGAAAGCUAUUCACUCUUCCUCCCAGAAUGAGACGAGACAUGAUAGAGAGGAGCAGGCCUAUUUGGGGUCCCAGAGUCCCUGUUCAAGCAUUGUCAAUCUUCUUUAUACCAUAGAUUCCUUUGGCAGUCUGAUGAAGCUGACUGACUCUAUUUCAGGAUGAUGCUGACAUAAGGUGGGAUAGAAACACGAAGGAAACCAAUUAUGUCAAAAUGGAGUCAUCAAAAAAUUUUUGAAGUGUUUGCUUUGUGUUAACCCAUUAAAUGAGUGCUUUUCAAGC